rnacentral:rRNA from 1 species
AGAGUUUGAUCAUGGCUCAGAUUGAACGCUGGCGGCAUGCCUUACACGUGCAAGUCGAACGGUAACGCGGGGCAACCUGGCGACGAGUGGCGAACGGGUGAGUAAUAUAUCGGAACGUGCCCAGUAGUGGGGGAUAGCCCGGCGAAAGCCGGAUUAAUACCGCAUACGACCUAUGGGUGAAAGCGGGGGACUCGCAAGGGCCUCGCGCUAUUGGAGCGGCCGAUAUCAGAUUAGCUAGUUGGUGGGGUAAAGGCCUACCAAGGCGACGAUCUGUAGCUGGUCUGAGAGGACGACCAGCCACACUGGGACUGAGACACGGCCCAGACUCCUACGGGAGGCAGCAGUGGGGAAUUUUGGACAAUGGGCGCAAGCCUGAUCCAGCCAUGCCGCGUGUGGGAAGAAGGCCUUCGGGUUGUAAACCACUUUUGUCAGGGAAGAAACGGUCUGGUCUAAUAAACCGGACUAAUGACGGUACCUGAAGAAUAAGCACCGGCUAACUACGUGCCAGCAGCCGCGGUAAUACGUAGGGUGCAAGCGUUAAUCGGAAUUACUGGGCGUAAAGCGUGCGCAGGCGGCUUUGCAAGACAGAUGUGAAAUCCCCGGGCUCAACCUGGGAACUGCAUUUGUGACUGCAAGGCUAGAGUACGGCAGAGGGGGAUGGAAUUCCGCGUGUAGCAGUGAAAUGCGUAGAUAUGCGGAGGAACACCGAUGGCGAAGGCAAUCCCCUGGGCCUGUACUGACGCUCAUGCACGAAAGCGUGGGGAGCAAACAG